rnacentral:rRNA from 1 species
AAGGCUUCAGUACGACCCUGUCAGAACUAUAAGUCUCAAAGCCCCGACGAGUAGGAUGGCGUGCCGGUGAGCGUUGAAGGCCAAGACGUGAGUCAGGCUGGAGCCGCCGGUAGUGCAGAUCUUGGUGGUAGUAGCAAGUACUCUGGUGAACCAACCUGGAGCUGUGAGGUCUGGAUCAGGGUUCCAUGUCAACAGUGAUUGAACAUGGGUGAGUCGAUCCUAAGCCAACUGUGAAAGCAGUGACAUCCCGACAAAGGGGCAAUUCGUGCGUUCGCCGCACAAAAACACGCGUGUGCACAUUCUCGAGCCUCCGCUCUCUCUCGACACANUGUGCUCUGGUUACGCUCGAANGCNUUAANGGANAGAGAAAAAGUGAGGCCGUGCCGCGCUCUGACAUACAAUUUGUGUGUGCGUGCGUUCAAUCGUAACGCUCUCUGCGUCUGGUUCUAUGUCUGGCGAAAGGGAAUGGGGACUUUGUUCCUUGACCGGUCCCGGCACCCUCGAUAGGCUUUGCCAAUCAAUGGUCCAUGCAAAUGGAACCAGGCCACAGCCGCCGGCGGUCGCCCGAGGAAGAGUUUUCUUUUCUGCUUAACGCACGAGAUCAUCCCUGGAAACAGUUCGGCUGGCGAAAGGGUGCCCCGUUGCGGCAGAGCGCCACGACUGUCGUGCGCGUCUCGGUGUUCCUGCCGGUCCGUGAAGACGUGGUCGAGGGGAUUGCUAUAUUUGUAUCAACGAAACGCCCGACAAGUUCGGGACGGACCGUACCCUAUAUCCGCAUCUGGUCUCCAAGGUUCGUAGCCUCUGCAGAGUCAGACACAUGUAGGUAAGGGAAGUCGGCAAACUCGAUCCGUAACUUCGGGAAAAGGAUUGGCUCUGAGGGCCGAGCUGGGCCGGGCCUUGCCUGCAAAGCAGUACCUAUAGUGACCGGAGUUUCAGGAGUGCGAGGGGCUCUAGUAGCUGCCUGUGUGUGCGCGCGCGUUCACGCGUGUGUGUGUGUAUGGGCACGAACGGGUCUACCGCUCCGCUCCAACCACGAACGGCUGUGACGGCAAGGGCUCUGGGCGGGAGCGUUCAAACCGUUUGUCCCCAGCUCGUCUGGGUGGCGGCGGUGCUCCGUCUGACCCAUACGGCUCCAGCGGCUAGCGGCUAACUCAGAACUGUCAUGGACCAAGGGAAUCCGACUGUCUAAUUAAAACAAAGCGUCGUGACGGCCCCUGUUGGGUGUUGACGCGACGUGAUUUCUGCCCAGUGCUCUAA